rnacentral:rRNA from 1 species
UACGUAGGUGGCAAGCGAUACUCGGAAUCACUAGGCGUAAAGCGCAGGUAGGCGGUUUGGUAAGUCUUUUGUGAAAGCUCCCGGCUCAACUGGGAGAGGCCAAGGGAAACUACCGGACUAGAGUGUGGUAGGGGAUACUGGAAUUCCUGGUGUAGCGGUGAAAUGCGUAGAUAUCAGGAGGAAUACCUAUGGCGAAAGCAGGUAUCUGGGCCAUCACUGACGCUGAGCUGCGAAAGCUAGGGGAGCAAACAGG